UGGGCUUGAACUACUGGUAGUAAGUCUUUGGAAACAUAGACUGAUCCGCAAGGAAGCCAGCAGAGGUGCUGCAUGGUUGUCGUCAGCUCGUGUCGUGAGAUGUUGGGUUAAGUCCCGCAACGAGCGCAACCCCUAUUCGAUGUUGCUAAUCCCGCAAGGGAUGCACUCUUCGAAAACUGCCUUCGAUAAGAAGGAGGAAGGUGGGGAUGACGUUAGGAUAG
rnacentral:misc_RNA from 1 species